rnacentral:rRNA from 1 species
UACAGAGGGUGCGAGCGUUAAUCGGAAUUACUGGGCUUAAAGGGUGCGUAGGCGGCCAUGUAAGUGAGGUGUGAAAUCCCUCGGCUCAACCGAGGAACUGCGCUUCAUACUGCAUGGCUUGAGGGAGACAGGGGUCAGCGGAACUGAUGGUGGAGCGGUGAAAUGCGUUGAUAUCAUCAGGAACACCGGUGGCGAAGGCGGGUCUCUGGGCCGAUACUGACGCUGAGGAGCGAAAGCGUGGGGAGCGAACAGG